rnacentral:rRNA from 1 species
UACAGAGGUGGCAAGCGUUGUUCGGAAUUACUGGGCGUAAAGGGCGCGUAGGCGGCCUUCUAAGUCAGACGUGAAAUCCCCCGGCUUAACCUGGGAACUGCGUCUGAUACUGGGAGGCUUGAGUAUGGGAGAGGGAUGUAGAAUUCCAGGUGAGCGGUGAAAUGCGUAGAUAUCGGAGGAAUACCGGUGGCGAAGGCGGUC